GAGAGAGAAGGCGCAGAGACACAGGCUCCAUGCAGGGAGCCCGAUGUGGGACUCGAUCCAGUAUCCCCAGGAUCACGCCCUGGGCUGCAGGCGGCGCUAAACCACUGCGCCGGGGCUGCCCUAUAUUAGAUAGCCUUAAGUUAAUUCAAGGUCCAAUUAUUUUAUUAUCAUUUAAAGGAGAUGGGUUUGAGAACUAAAGCAAGCUGUAAAAAAUAAGGAGGAGCAUUUAUAUUUAACUGGUACUAUUGUCCAACACCAAUAUGCUGCUGCAAGUACCAAAAUUUGGAGGUAACUUAAUGGAACUAUUUGUUAGAACAGUUACCCAGUGCAUUGAAGAAUUAGUCGAGAUUUUAUUUUUUUAAGAUUUUAUUUAUUUAUUCAUGAGAGAUACAGAGAGAAAGAGGCAGAGACAUGGGCAGAAGGAGAAGCAGGUUCCAUGUAGGAAGCCCAAUGCGGGACUCUAUCUGGGGACCCCAGGGUCAUGCCCUGAGACAAGGGCAGGUGCUCAACUGCUGAGCCACCCAGGCAUCCAGAAUUAGUUGAGAUCUUAAAAUAAAACUUGUACUUACUAGAAGAGAUCCAAAAAGGAUCCUAGAAACUACAGACCAUAUAAUGUAAAUUUUGGCUGGGAUAACUUCAAGAAUAUAUAAAAUAAUUUAAUAGAAACAUAAUAUUUGGUAGAAGUUCAACAUAACUUCAUAAAAAUAAAUUUGUUUUAAUAAAAUAGAGUCACUUUAAAAGGUUAACAUGUAUACAUUUGAAUUCCGGGGUGAUAAUAUAAUUUCAAUUCAAAAUCCUGUUUUUGCAAUGUUUCUAAAACCUAGCUCACUAGUAGAGAGUGACUCUAUAAGUGAGAAAAUGGCAUUUCCUUUAAUGUAUUUUCUUUCCAAAAUAGAAAUCUCACAGUAAGGAAUCAAAUAGAGGUUUUUGGAAGAUAUGGAGUAGUCUACUUUUUGUGGAGUUGGUGAGAACACUAUUUGAAAGACUACUAGAGCAUCUAUAAUAAGAGGUAUACAAAGGAUCUUCACAUUGGAAGACAAAUACUCUGUGGUGAAACACCAAAUCAAAAUUAGCAGUUUGUGGACUCAAAAAAUCCAGGAGUAGUUCUAAAUCUGAGUAAAACAGAUGCAGCAGCUAUACCAGAAUAAAUUUCAAAUUGGUGAAUGACCUAAGUUUUAAACGUAAAAUCACUAAAAUAACAGAGAGAAGGGGACUUUGCUAUAAAUAUCAAAUUCCUUCUAGAAGUAAAUGAUAGAGCAAUGUAGAAAAGCAACUUGGAUGAGUUCUUAUGACCUCUAACUAGCUGUAGACAGCUAAUUCAAACUGGAAAGAAUUAAAGAGAAGCAAGAUAUAACCUUCAAAUCUUGAAACUAGAAAACCGAUGCCUGGGAAAAUCUGGAAUUGAUGAUAAUCCGAUACGUGGGAUGCAUACCUAAUAUAUUUGUCAGAGAUUAAUCUAGGAUAUUUAGAAAAAAGUGCAAAAGCCUGACUGUGAGUGCGGAAGUAACAAGAGAUGGAAAACGAUAGCAUCAUUUUGCAAGAAUUUAAACUUCUGGAAUGACUUCAAGGAAAGCAAAAUUAGCACAGUUUUACAGCAAUCAGGCAUAGUUUAGCAAAAGAAAAUUUUCCCAUGGCAAGAUCUGCAUCUGAGUAAAAUGAAUAUUAGUAAGAUAUUACAUUUCCUAUUAUUUUUGUUACUAAGUUGCUAUUGUCAUCUUCCUCCUUUUGGAAAAGCAUUGAAAGUAGAACAUCUGCUUUUGAUUAAAUUGGUGUACCAGUAUUUCUGUACAAAUCCCAAUCAUAAUUAAAGGUUGCUAUUCCUAUCUUCUCAAAAGAUGUUUUGAAAAUUACAUCUCACUUAGAAAAAUUACUUUCCUUUUUAU